AGUGAACGCUGGCGGUAGGCCUAACACAUGCAAGUCGAACGGCAGCACAGUAAGAGCUUGCUCUUACGGGUGGCGAGUGGCGGACGGGUGAGGAAUACAUCGGAAUCUACUUUUUCGUGGGGGAUAACGUAGGGAAACUUACGCUAAUACCGCAUACGACCUACGGGUGAAAGCAGGGGCUCUUCGGACCUUGCGCGAUUGAAUGAGCCGAUGUCGGAUUAGCUAGUUGGCGGGGUAAAGGCCCACCAAGGCGACGAUCCGUAGCUGGUCUGAGAGGAUGAUCAGCCACACUGGAACUGAGACACGGUCCAGACUCCUACGGGAGGCAGCAGUGGGGAAUAGUGGACAAUGGGCGCAAGCCUGAUCCAGCCAUACCGCGUGGGUGAAGAAGGCCUUCGGGUUGUAAAGCCCUUUUGUUGGGAAAGAAAAGCAGCAGGUUAAUACCCCGCUGUUCUGACGGUACCCAAAGAAUAAGCACCGGCUAACUUCGUG
rnacentral:rRNA from 1 species